GAUGAACGCUAGCGGCAGGCUUAAUACAUGCAAGUCGAGGGGCAUCGCGGGUAGCAAUACCUGGCGGCGACCGGCGCACGGGUGCGUAACGCGUAUGUAAUCUACCUUUAACCGGGGAAUAGCCCAGAGAAAUCCGGAUUAAUGCCCUAUAGUAUUAUUGGAAGGCAUCUUUCGAUAAUUAAAGCUCCGGCGGUUUUAGAUGAACAUGCGUGUCAUUAGUUAGUUGGCGAGGUAACGGCUCACCAAGACUACGAUGACUAGGGGGUCUGAGAGGAUGAUCCCCCACACGGGUACUGAGACACGGACCAGACUCCUACGGGAGGCAGCAGUAAGGAAUAUUGGGCAAUGGAGGCAACUCUGACCCAGCCAUGCCGCGUGAAGGAUGACGGCCCUCGUGGUUGUAAACUUCUUUUGUACGGGAAUAACCCUCCGAACGUGUUCGGAGCUGAAGGUACCGUAAGAAUAAGGAUCGGCUAACUCCGUGCCAGCCGCCGCAGUAAAAC
rnacentral:rRNA from 1 species